GACAGAGGCCAGGUCCUGAUGGACUGAGGAGGAAGAGAAGAAUGCGCAGGUCCAGCUGCACUGCUGCCCACUCUGGGGUGUGGAGGAACAUGGAAAGAUGGCCUCCAGGAUGGAGAAGGAAGCUGGUUUCGAGGACUGAGGGAUGUUAGGAUAUUGUUUCAUGCAUUAGUCCCCAGGGGCAGGCAGGAAGAUUCCAGAAUGAACCAAACCCUUGUCCUACUGGUAAUAUCGGGCUGGAGAGGUCAUACUCGUCCCUGGGGAGCCUUCCCUGGCUAUCCCUCUGUGUACCACUGGUGUGUGUACCCAGAGUGCUGUUAACUCUUCUUCAGUGUUUACCUCCAACAUCUGCGGGAUCUUUCCAGAAGUCUGGAGAAUGCUGUUGGCUGCCACAGCAGCCAUUUAUGGAGCUUCGUUAUCUGUUCAGACCCUUCAGACGUCACAGUACCAUGUGAGAUAGGCAUUAUCAGCUACAUUUUGAAGAUCUCAGCUAUAGGCUCCGCCCAUCAUGUCUAUGCUCAAGGGAGAAAGGACCCACCUUCCAACGAGCUCCAAAGCUCUCCCGCGUGCACCUGUUCAUUGUGCAGAACAUGUCCCAUGACUGCCCCUAGUGCAAGGAUGUCCGGGAAAGCAAGAUGUCACCGGGAACUGACUUCACUGCUGCUCCGAACAGAAUCAGGGUGUGUCAGCAGGCAAGGGGGACAUUGAUUCUGUGUCAGUCAUAAAGAGUGUCUGCCAUCCAUAAACAGCAUAAUUCUGCUCCCCUCUUGGGUGGAACUCUUGGUGUGAGCCCAAUGGCAGAGCUCGGCCCCCAGAAGAUAAUUGCUUCUUGGCCAUUUCUGCAAACCACUCUGUUCCCUUAAGGUUAAUGCAAAAAGAAUUUUUCUGUUUAGAUGAUUUAAAUGGACUCUGUGAGAAUUUAAGGAUUUCUUUAAAAAGCCUCAGGAAAAAGGCACAACUAAUUACGUGCCUUAAGCUUCACACACAGCAAACUCUGACCCAGGCGCUCGGCACAUAGGAGAGCCCGUGCUUCUGGGAUGGGGGGCUGUCUGCCUUUCUCCGCAGAAGCUGGACAUGGGCAGCAUCUUUAGAAUCU
rnacentral:lncRNA from 1 species